GGGGGCGUAGUUUAACUUGGCUAGAGCGGUCGGCUCCAAACCGACUGAUCCAGGUUCAAAUCCUGGCGUCCCCG
rnacentral:tRNA from 1 species